UCAAGCCCAUCAGUUUGGUCGCCCAAGUAACAUUCUGGCCCAGAAGAACAAAAGCACCCUUGGAUGGUAAGUAACCCAUAAACCACUUGACCAAUAACUGCGCACAGCAUCGAAUCAAACCCCCACGCCUCUUCUCAUUCCGGUUAUGAACCGAAUAAUAGACAUCUCCAAUCAAUGUAGGGAUAUGAUUCCUUCGAAUAAACAAGCGGAUGGCAUUGAUGUCCACAAAAUUCUUCUGGUUGGGAAACAAAAUGAUCCCAUAAAUGCUCGCCGCAACCAGAGCACAGACAGCUUCCCAAUUCCCCAAUUCUGACUGCUCUUUAGCCUUAGCCUCUAGGAAACUCAGAUGAAAACCAGGC
rnacentral:lncRNA from 1 species